UGAGGUAGUGUUAAAUAUUGUU
rnacentral:miRNA from 1 species